CCUGGGGUGAGGCGACUGCCGUGACUCCACGCAGCUUCCGGGACCACGGUGCCACCUUAGCCUCUCUGAGAAAGCUCCAGAACGCAGCCAGAGACUCUGCGGGUCCAGAGUCCCCCCACUGCACGCACGGGCAGCCCAGCCGACAGGCCAUUCACCCACUCCACAGACACGGGCAGACUUUGGAGAUUCGCCAGACUUUGGAGAUUCACAGACGCCACUCCUACCCGCUGGAAGCGACUAUCUGAUGAGGAAAUAAAUACACAACUGAUUGUUUUCUUGUCAACUGCUGCGAAGAAGACGAAUGGGGGCUGCAGAAGCGUAACUGCGGUGUCCACCUGGAGGGGGCGCUGCUCGCUGGGAGCCAGUCUUCUCGCCCCCGGAGGACGCACGUGCUGCUGGCCUGCGGGCGCUCCAGGUCGCUGGCCGGGAUUACUGCUGACACAGUACCAGGCGCGCGUGGACACCUCCAGGCCGUGGACUCGGGGGUUUUCCACUUUGGCCCGGUGGGUGAGGACCCCUGAGUGCCCGGAGGAGCGGCGGGAGCCAGGCGGGCUGCGGGCCCGGCCUUCAGGGGCAGCGUCCUUCCUGCGAGGUCGGCCCGGCACUGGACAGGUGCUCCUACCCAGGGAGCCCUUGGAUGGAGGUGCAACACGUUCAAGAAGAUACUUUCCAUUUCCCAGCAAGACAGAAAGGGACGUGAUGGCCUCUCCCUGGCAUGGCUCAGACGCCACACGGAAGGUGUCCUGGCCGGAAGCGUGUCCCUUGGCAGGGGCUACGGGGCGUGAUGCCUGUCCAAGUCAUGGUGUCCCGCCCUCCGGUGGUCACCAGGGAGCGCGUGGAGCAGGAACCGACUGACACCGCCACCCAGCCACACACAGCAUGUGUCAUGCAAAUCCACGGGAGUUUCUGUGGAACCAGAAGGAGAAGGACCACAGCCAGAGAGCCCCCUCCUCGGGCAGCUG